rnacentral:rRNA from 1 species
CCUACGGGAGGCAGCAGUGGGGAAUGUUGGACAAUGGGCGCAAGCCUGAUCCAGCUAUUCCGCGUGUGGGAAGACGGCCUUCGGGUUGUAAACCACUUUUGUAGAGAACGAAAAGUCUGUUGAUAAUACCGAUAGAUGAUGACGGUACUCUAAGAAUAAGCACCGGCUAACUACGUGCCAGCAGCCGCGGGAAUACGUAGGGUGCGAGCGUUAAUCGGAAUUACUGGGCGUAAAGGGUGUGCAGGCGGUGUUGCAAGAUGGAAGUGAAAGCCCCGGGCUUAACCUGGGAAAGCAAUGCAUGACUGCAAGACUAGAGUGCGUCAGAGGGGGGUGGAAUUCCAAGUGUAGCAGUGAAAUGCGUAGAUAUUUGGAAGAACACCGAUGGCGAAGGCAGCCCCCUGGGACGCAACUGACGCUCAUACACGAAAGCGUGGGGAGCAAACAGGAUUAGAUACCCGGGUAGUC